rnacentral:lncRNA from 1 species
GCAAUAAAGGAUGGGAAGCGCAUUUUGCCUGCACGACAGCAGUGCUCUCAAAAGGGGUUUCAAAAAUCAGCAUUACUCAAUGACCAACUUUGUGAUCAGGAAAAAGUGACAAGUUAAAGGUGUUGCAGUUGGCUGUUGCUAUGAGUAAGCAGUCGCUUCCCAUUGUUAACUAAAUCAUUGCACACCAGCUUAGAGCAGUAACAAGAAAUAAGAUUGAAGCGAAGCAAGAAAAACAAGAAACAAAAAGCAAACAGCAGUUAUGUACAAGCGGCAGCCAACAGCUAGGCAGUUACUUUUUCGCUUUUAUGCAAAUCACCAAGUAAGCCAUUGAGUAGUGUUGGUUCUUUGAAACCGCUUUUGAGAGUGAUGCUGAAGUGUGCAACAUUUGCAGGCCCUCCUUCACUUGGCUUCCUUUUUUUUCCCUCUACCAACUUGUUCAACUUUCAGUCAUUCUAAGUGACAGCAGAAAGGUGAAGAGCAAUUCUGUAACAGUGUGCAGUAUGCUGGAAGCUACACAACGAAGCCAAGCGGGCAAAGCCCCAGCAGAAAGUUGAGUGUCGCUAUGUAAGGGACGGAAGCAGCCAAGGGAGUUCUGGAGCAGCUCUGGGAGCGGCAAAUUUGGCACAUUGGAGCAGGUUUGGAGCAUGCUAGGUAAGGAUGAGCGUGAGUGAAAUACAGACAAAUCAAGCAAA